rnacentral:rRNA from 1 species
ACCAGACUCCUACGGGAGGCAGCAGUGGGGGAUAUUGCACAAUGGGGGGAACCCUGAUGCAGCGACGCCGCGUGGGUGAAGGAGUAUUUCGGUAUGUAAAGCCCUAUCGGCAGGGAAGAAGAAAGACGGUACCUGACUAAGAAGCCCCGGCUAACUACGUGCCAGCAGCCGCGGUAAUACGUAGGGGGCGAGCGUUAUCCGGAUUCACUGGGGGUAAAGGGAGCGUAGACGGCCAAGCAAGCCAGGGGUGAAAGCCCGGGGGCCAACCCCGGGACUGCCCUUGGAACUGCAUGGCUGGAGUGCGGGAGGGGCAGGCGGAAUUCCUGGUGUAGCGGUGAAAUGCGUAGAUAUCAGGAGGAACACCGGUGGCGAAGGCGGCCUGCUGGACUGCGACUGACGUUGAGGCCCGAAAGCGUGGGGAGCAAACAGGAUUAGAUACCCCCGUAGC